UACGAAGGGGGCUAGCGUUGCUCGGAAUUACUGGGCGUAAAGCGCACGUAGGCGGCUUUCUAAGUCGGGGGUGAAAUCCUGGAGCUCAACUCCAGAACUGCCUUCGAUACUGGAGAGCUCGAGUCCGGGAGAGGUGAGUGGAACUGCGAGUGUAGAGGUGAAAUUCGUAGAUAUUCGCAAGAACACCAGUGGCGAAGGCGGCUCACUGGCCCGAUACUGACGCUGAGGCACGAAAGCGUGGGGAGCAAACAGG
rnacentral:rRNA from 1 species